rnacentral:sRNA from 1 species
UCAUGACUUGCAUGUUGUUUCCAUUAAGAAACCAAGGAUUAUAGUGCUGAGAGAAAUAGAUGAUUUCAUAAAUGAAGUUGCAAUUUAUUCUCAAGUUAAUCAUUGAAAUACCGUAAAGCUUCUAGGUUUUUGCCUUGAGGUAUAGAAGUUCCAUUAUUGGUUAAUUAUGAGUUUAUUUCAAAUGGAUCUCUUGAUCAUCAUCUUCAUGCUGAUGGGCCAGUUUCUCUAUCAUGGGAUGACCGAGUAAGGAUUGGUCUUGAAGUCGCUUGAGCUUUGGUCUAUCUACACUCAGCUACUGCAAUACCAAUAUUCCAUAAGAGAUAUCAAGACAUCCAACAUACUUUUCUACGACAAUUUAAUAGUAAAGAUAUUUGACUUUGGAGCUUCAAGGUACAUCCCGAUUAAUCAAACUGAGGUGACUACAGUCAUUCAAGGAACAAUUGGCUACUUAGAUCCCAUGUACUAUUAUACACGUUGUCUAACACAGAUAAAAGUGAUGUUUUAGUUUUGGUGUUCUUCUUAUAGAACCGCUUACUAGAAAAAACUAGCCCACAUAUAGAACUGAUGAAUGGUGAUAGUCUUGUUUUACAUUUUCUGUCGCUACUCCGAGAAAGAAAGUUGUUUGAAAUAAUAGAUCUUCAAGUUAUGGAAGGUGAAGAUAAGUAUCAAAGAAGUAGCAAAACUAGCGGCAAUGUGUACUAAGUUGAAUGGACAAGA